GAUGGACUCGCGUCCCAUAAGCUAGUUGGUGAGGUAACGGCCCACCAAGGCAACGAUGGGUAGCCGACCUGAGAGGGUGAUCGCCCACACUGGAACUGAGACACGGUCCAGACUCCUACGGGAGGCAGCAGUGGGGAAUAUUGGGCAAUGGGCGCAAGCCUGACCCAGCAACGCCGCGUGAGGGAAGAAGGUCUUCGGAUUGUAAACCUCUGUCCUUGGGGACGAAAAAAAUGACGGUACCCAAGGAGGAAGCUCCGGCUAACUACGUGCCAGCAGCCGCGGUAAUACGUAGGGAGCGAGCGUUGUCCGGAAUUACUGGGCGUAAAGGGUGCGUAGGCGGCUAUGCAAGUCAGAUGUGAAAUCCCCGGGCUUAACUCGGGUGGUGCAUUUGAAACUGCGUAGCUUGAGUGCAGGAGAGGAAAGCGGAAUUCCUAGUGUAGCGGUGAAAUGCGUAGAUAUUAGGAGGAACACCAGUGGCGAAGGCGGCUUUCUGGACUGUAACUGACGCUGAGGCACGAAAGCGUGGGGAGCAAACAGGAUUAGAUACCCUGGUAGUCCACGCUGUAAA
rnacentral:rRNA from 1 species